rnacentral:misc_RNA from 1 species
CAACAUCUGUAUUGAAAAUUCUUUUGGUCGUUUAGUCCAUUGAUAGAUACUUAGUUGUAGGCUAAGAGGCAGUCUCAUAGUUAUAAUAUGUGAAAAUGUAUUACGAGAGAUAAAAUAACAGAUUUGAAUUGUGGUUUUACAUAAUAUCAUGGUGAAAAACAAUUUCAAGAUAUGUGACGCGAAAAUUUGGAGACCCUUAACAGUUG